UGCCAGCAGCCGCGGUAAAACCAGCACCUCAAGUGGUCAGGAUGAUUACUGGGCGUAAAGCGCGCGUAGGCGGAUUGGAAAGUUGGGGGUGAAAUCCCAGGGCUCAACCCUGGAACUGCCUCCAAAACUCCCAGUCUUGAGUUCGAGAGAGGUGAGUGGAACUCCGAGUGUAGAGGUGAAAUUCGUAGAUAUUCGGAGGAACACCAGUGGCGGAGGCGACCACCUGGUACAGUAUUGACGCUGAGAUGCGAAAGCGUGGGGAGCAAACAGGAUUAGAUA
rnacentral:rRNA from 1 species